AGGAGUCGGUCAGAGCCUCCACCUCGGCUCGCAGCUGCAGCCAGGCGUCUCUUUUAGCGGGACCUAGUAGACCUGCAACACGACGUGGACGCAUUAGGAACCUCGAGGAAUCACGUGCACGGUACAAUUCUCUCUGGUGGUCUUACCCCCCACAUUGUUUUUGUAAGUGCUAUACAACUCUUUGACACGUCGGUAGCGGAAGGCCAGUUUCCUCAUCCAGUCGACGCCGCCGCGGACGCCUGUGGCGAGGCACAGAUUGGCGCUGGUCGCAGCUGCAUGGAAGCCAUCAGUUGCAAAACUCGCCGCAGCAACGCCAUCCAAGGCCGAGGCAACUCUUUGCAGGAUUAAAGCUUUCACCGAGGCCGCUGCUCGGCUGAAAUUGAUGACGCUGUUUGUGCAUGCGCCAGUUGACACCGCCACUUCAUGGUGUGAUUGUGAGUGCGGCUGUUUGUCUCGAUGUGCCCUGCGAUUGGCUGCUAACCAGUUCAGGGUGUACCCUGCCUCCUGCCCGUUGACAGGUGGGAUAGGCUCCAGAACUCCCUGCAACCCACGUGAGGAUAAGCAGCAAAGAAAAUGGAUGGAUCGAUAAAUAUACAGCAGGUCACAUUGAUCAAUCUUGCAGGUGGUCACCGGGGCUGAAGGAGCCGUCUGUGUCACUUGAGCCACUUUCAAAAAAAAAUAAAGGGUCGACCUUUGAACCCGACGGACGGGUGAGCGCCCAUGAACACAGUGCGUCUGAUGCUGCGUGCAAUCCCUCAGGGGAAGGAACCACCACAACAACAACAACAAAACUCCUGGAGCUGAUGUAGACCACCAUUUGGGCCCAGACCUCCACACUGAAAUGACCACUGCCUUCAACUUCUGAAAUCAGGGGCAGGACGAGCGCUCUUCAGCCUGCUCAUUAUCCCGGUGGUCUUCGUACGCGCCACUCGAUUGAGUUCGAGAGUGAAUGGAUCAGCGACGUGAUUUAAUGCAGCUUUCCUCAGUGGACACAAAUGAAAAGAGACGGAGGGGAGGCGGCCGGCCGGGCGGCCCGCGUAUCGUCUUCGGCCGAAGGCAAAGCAGAGAGAUAAUUGCACAAGUAAAUAUCAACAGAGAAAAGGGAGACGCGUAAAUGAUCCGCGUGCUUGGCCGACGGACACACUCCAGGACAAGAGUACUGGCUGGGCGACGGCAUUGUGACGUGAUUGUGUGACAAGAUACAAUAACUGCGAGAAUGUCACCAGCAGACAGAGAGAGCAGACCUUCUCCACCAUAUCUACUGGCAAGUCAAGUAUUUGCUCCCUCUCCUGGGCUAUGGGUCCACCAGUAAACAAACAUAAAAGUAAGGGCAUGUUGUGUAUUUACAACGAUGACAAAACCUUUCCUCAUAAAGUCCGCUAGAUUCACAGUAAUACAUAAUGGGAAAUAACAUUGGAGUCAUGGUGUUAUUACCUUUUAAGCAAAAGAUAUUUGAACACAAAUGGUGGAGCAACACGUGAAGUUGGGUCAUAUAACAAUGCUGACGGCAGGCAAAUUUUCUUUAUCCUCA